GGUGCUAUAGUGUAGUGGUUAUCACUCGGGAUUUUGAUUAAUACUUUCCCGAAACCCAGGUUCGAACCCUGGUAGCACCU
rnacentral:tRNA from 1 species